CCGCCCCGCCGCUCACGCUGCUGCUGCCGCCCCUCCGCACCGCCGGUGGCAGUCGCGCCGUUCUCCGGCGGUUACCUAUCUCCGCUUAUUCACUCGCGGCGCGACCCGUCUGCCCGGAGGGUGUGCAUCCCGUCCUGCCAACAAGCUGACCAGCGCGCUAAAUCCCUGUCUCCAGUGGAGAUAAUGACUUCAGAAAGUGAAUUCAGAAUUCAGGUAUGAGAGUUCACAUCAGGAUUCCCUGCAAACUCAUGCUAUCACCCAGCCAAGAUCAAACUGGUAUUUCCUGAGGAAAGACCGUCUUGCUGGGUGAGCCCUGAAAGAUGAUUGUGAGUUGCUAAAGACAUUUGAAAAGACCUCACUCAAUGCAAGAGAGAAACUGCAUGAAGUUUAUUUGUUUUGUUUACUGGUGUUUUUUUUUAUAAAAGAAUAACUCAAGGCAAUGAAGAACUUAUAGGAAGUUCAAUUAUUCCUUUGGGGGCUAAAGGAAAGCUAUUUUCUCAAAGGGAAUAGAGAGCAGAGAAUGUGACAGUCUGAUUUCCAUUUUACUCAUCUCACUCUUCUGUGCAUGAGCACCAGAAUAACAGUUCACAGAACAGAAAACUAGAUCUAUGUUUUUGCAUUUCUGUAGCAAGGCUGAAAAAGUGUUCUGAAACCCAAUACCAAUACACAGAGGUAGUCAGUUUAUCUGGAGGACGAGACCACCUUUGAAAAUAAAAAAACAAAAGAAUGCAAGACAAUAGGUAGAAUAUGUUUACAGCUGGUAAGAGAUUUAGAAGAAUGAGAAGAGCUUGUUUGCCUCUUCAUGCCUCAGACAUACCAGAGUGGACACAAGUUUGAACGUAUAAUUUCUCAGACACAAGCAGAUAUGAAGAAGCUUUUUCAAGAUGUUUUGUAGCAGUUGACAAGUCAUCACUGAAGUGUUUCUUGAAUUAUACAUGUGUUGCAUACAUCUGGGAUGGACAUUAGAAAUAUUCCAAUAUCAUGGAAUUGUGUUUUCCUGGUUUAUUUGAAAAAGCAAGUAUUGUACUUUCUCCGCCUCAGCUCAGAAUGGCUCCCUGAAGAGAAUGAGCUCUGCAAGGGUGCUCUGUCUCCCAUCUUCUCUGCUUCAGCAUCCUCAGGGCUGUGUUACCCUUCAAGUGUCAUAUGGAGAUGCUCAGGGGAUCUAGAGAUCAGAGGUUAGGAGGAAUGGAUCAGGGUUUGUGGGUGUGAGCCCUGGGGCCAGGACCUUCAUCUGGCCAAUCACAAGUUGGCAAGACAGGCUGCAUUUAUCCAACUCUUCUAUGAGAGGAGGGCUGUCUAAUGCUAUCAUGACAAAAGAGAGCCACUAAGCUUUGUUUUCUAUGUAAUUCUGAUUCCUGUUUCUAUAUCCUGAUUUCAUAAAUAACUUUUGUGAUGAGUUCUACCUGUUACACAGGAGACAAGGCAACUUACUUCUCCUCUUCUUGGCAGUACAUUUAACAUUAUGCAGAGCACACUGCUAACAUUUCAAAAGCUGCUAACAGCAUCUAGGGAUCCUUAAAAACAAUCACUCCUUCCACUGGAACUCCAGCAACUGACACUACACUGCAAUGUGAAAUGAUGUACAAAGACCAUCAUUACACUGACAUUUUAAAAUUCUCUAAUCUGGUAAAUGGAGCAAAAGGGAAUAAGUAUUGAAAAACACUUGCCUUCUGUUUACAUCCUUGGAGAAACAGAGUUUGACAAAUUAUGCAGGACUCUAACACAUAUUAAACUUGAGCUGGUAAAGAGAAUCCAUCUAACUAAAAUGUAGAUAAGUUACAUAUGAUAUAAACAUACACAGAACUGUUUCAGAAGAAUGGAGCCACUUUGUAUAACAGCAUGUAGUGACACACAGUAACUGUUUAAGGUCAGAAAUUAAGAGAGAAAUUAAGAGAGAAAAAUGAAUUGCAGGGGAACUCCAUGUUCUACAGUGCAUCUCAGGAAGCUGGAAAUGAGACAAAUGAGACAAAUACAUUUCCAAACAAAAAUUUGGUCAAGCAGAAGACUUACUACAAGCACUGCAGUUUGGCUAAAACAGUUAGCUAUCAAUAGUUAACCAAUGGUUUUCACUAGACAUAGAUGAAGACAACAGAAGGACCGCUUUUGCCUGGGAAACAGCCUCCAUGCCAAAAUACAAUCUGAAAUCAAAUUGAAUUUGAUGUAGAACAAUGAAAUAUACAGGCAAUUAUAUCAAGCAUUCUUAGUUUCCAUUCAUAAGACUACAAGAGAUUUGAGUAUCAGGAGUUGCAAUGACAUCCAUUCCUUUUCCCUAGUGUCUCUUGAUGACUGACACUGGUAGAAAUAGUAUUACAGGUAGGACAUUAACUGAGGGUGAAGUAAGACGCAAAGAUGGAAACUUCCCACAGUCCACCCAGAAACCUUAGAAGAAAAUCCUGCAAUAAAAUGGAACUACUUUUUGUCCUACAGUAAGAUUUUCUGAUAUUAAUAAUGAUUUCUUCCAUAGGCCCCAGCAAUUUCAGAUUAAACAGCUGAUAAAUGCAACGUUGAAACUCGCUUUUCUUGUUUGUGAAAGUAAGCAUUUUAUUAAUCACUUCUGUGGCAUGUGUGUACCUCUGCAGUGUUUAUUCUACUUGUUUCUGUGCCUACUCAUUUCAGCACUGAUUUUUAAUAUUAAAUUGUAUUUCCUAGCUCAGAACAGAAA